GACGGAAGGUGCAAGCGUUGUUCGGAUUUACUGGGCGUAAAGGGCGCGUAGGCGGCCACUGCAAGUCAGUUGUGAAAUCUCCGGGCUUAACCCGGAAAGGUCAGCCGAUACUGCGGGGCUAGAGUGCAGAAGGGGCAACUGGAAUUCUCGGUGUAGCGGUGAAAUGCGUAGAUAUCGAGAGGAACACCUGCGGCGAAGGCGGGUGCUGGGCUGACACUGACGCUGAUGCGCGAAAGCUAGGGGAGCGAACGGG
rnacentral:rRNA from 1 species